UGAACUAUACCCAUCACACGAUGUCCAC
rnacentral:sRNA from 1 species